GUAACUUUGAAAUAGUUGGCAGUUUGUUAGUAGUUGUGUGUUAAAUUAAUGGUGUGGUAGAAGUUAGUUGAAUUAACUAUGUUUGGUGUUAGUUGUGCUUUUAAUGUGUUAGGGCGGUAGUGGCUAUUAUAUAAAGCCACCCUUUUCUCUUCAUUUGCAUCAAUCAAGGAAGGAACAUUAUCAUAUCUAAAAUAGCGUCCCACUACUUUCUGUCUUUUGAUUAUCACAAGAGAACAAGUUUCUUCUCUUACCUAUUAUUACUUCCACAUAACCGUACCCACCACCAAUAAUAUCAUUCCUUUAU
rnacentral:lncRNA from 1 species